GUGCUUCUGUGUGAAUGUCCAUUGAGAGAGUUGGAGAGGAGGCUGUCCCACGGACGAUGUUAAUUGGGAAGAGAUCGAUGGCUCCUGAGGAUUCGAGUACAAUGCAGAGGGAGUAGAAGAUGCGAUUGAGUCUGAACCCUUGGUCAAUCGUGAAAUCGGUGAAGCUAGCCGGAGAGUGACCCGUCGGCGAAAGGAGAGAUUUUUAUCGAUGAAUCCGUUAUGGAGAAUCGGAUUCCAAGAGAUUAGAGAUUGGGGUGAUUGCAAUUUCGAAGGCGAGAAUAACAUUGUGAAUGGUUUUAGCUCUAUUCGUCAGAAACCAUUGUUAAGCUUCGAGUCGACGAUAACAAUGGAUUUCAG